rnacentral:rRNA from 1 species
UAGGGAAUCUUGCGCAAUGGGCGAAAGCCUGACGCAGCCAUGCCGCGUGAAUGAUGAAGGUCUUAGGAUUGUAAAAUUCUUUCACCGGGGAAGAUAAUGACGGUACCCGGAGAAGAAGCCCCGGCUAACUUCGUGCCAGCAGCCGCGGUAAUACGAAGGGGGCUAGCGUUGCUCGGAAUUACUGGGCGUAAAGGGCGCGUAGGCGGACAUUUAAGUCAGAGGUGAAAGCCCAGGGCUCAACCUUGGAACUGCCUUUGAUACUGGAUGUCUUGAGUUCGGGAGAGGUGAGUGGAAUGCCGAGUGUAGAGGUGAAAUUCGUAGAUAUUCGGCGGAACACCAGUGGCGAAGGCGACUCACUGGCCCGAUACUGACGCUGAGGCGCGAAAGCGUGGGGAGCAAACA